AAAUUAUUUGCUGCGGCUCUACCAUUAUUACUUUCAUCAGGAUUUAAUGCAUCCACCCUGAAAUUCACGAACGUAAUCUGUGAGUCUCUCAAUAAAUCAUUGGUUCAAUUUGAGGAGUGCCGUUUACGAGUUUUCAGACGAAAUAUGAUCACAUUCAAUUUAAAUGCAACUAUUUUGCAUCCAGUAAAUAUUGUCUACAUUAAUACACAAGUCUUGAAGAAAGCAAAUGGAUACAAGCCAUUUCUAAUGAACAUAACCUUUGAUUGGUGUGAAUAUCAGCGAAAGCGAAAUAUUCCCUACAUAAAUUUAUUAUAUACAUUAACAAAAGAUUAUACAAACCUUUUUCAAAAGUGUCCCUUCUACGGUACGAUUUUCAUGAAGAACCUUCAUGUAGCACCAUCGAUGAUUAAACUUCCAUUGCCUAGUGGAGAAUAUCUAUUAGAAACUAACUGGAUGCCGUUUAUGAGAACACAAUUUAUAACUAAAUUCUACUUUGCAUUUGAGGAGGAUUAAAGCAGAAAACUUUAAAACCUCGAAAAUGAAAUAUUAAUAAAACAAAUAUAAUAUUUUUUGUCAUUUAGUUAGAGAAGAUUGUUUCAUAAAUAGUUUUCUUAUUAAUGAACCGUAUAAUAUGUUUAUAAUUUAUGCCCCAUAGACUCUAAAUGGAUUAUUAUGGAACCAUUGUUAUUUAUAAAAUGUAAUAGCAACUCA